CUGGAGGUGACAACGAAGUUCCUUGAUGCCCCAUAUGCACUGUGGGGGGAAAUGCAGAAAACCUAUAUGAAAAGCUGUCCGAAGCAUUGAGCAAAAGAGGCAUUCCAUAGGAGAAUGUCAUUGCCUUCAACUCUGACAAUCCAAGUGUAAUGAAAGGCAGACACAAUUCAGUGAUUAGCAGACUAAGAGGAAGCCAGCCUAAUGUCCAGGACCUUGGCUGCAUUUGCCACCUUCUCCAGCUUGCCACUGGUUGUGGCAUCAAAGCAACCAAACUUCCAGUAGAGGACAUUUUGGUUGGGAUAUACACCCACUUUGACAAAAGUUCACAGACUCUGACAACCUGAAGCUGCCGAGGUACGGCAGUACCAGAUGGCUCAGUCUGCUUACAUGCAUUCAGAGAAUACUGAACCAGUGGG